rnacentral:rRNA from 1 species
UACGGAGGAUCCAAGCGUUAUCCGGAAUCAUUGGGUUUAAAGGGUCCGUAGGUGGAUAAUUAAGUCAGGGGUGAAAUCUUGCAGCUCAACUGUAAAAUUGCCUUUGAUACUGGUUAUCUUGAAUCAAUGUGAAGUGGUUAGAAUAUGUUGUGUAGCGGUGAAAUGCAUAGAUAUUACAUAGAAUACCAAUUGCGAAGGCAGAUCACUAACAUUGUAUUGACACUGAUGGACGAAAGCGUGGGGAGCGAACAGG